CUGAGGACCCCCAAAGGGAAUCACCGACCCCACAAUUGAGGUCACAACAAAUGUAAAGCCCCACAUAUUAAUAAGUAGUAUUAAUACAGCCCUUUAAUGGAGGUUUAUCACAGGCAGGCUAGUCCGGUGAUGUAACAGAGGAUGUAUGUACAGAGAGUUGCCCGCUGCUUCCACACUGUGUGCAGAGUAUCGGGUAGUGUGCGUUCUUUACGUUCUGGCUCUAUUCACACGCAGCGGCCCGCAUCAUCUGCCGCACUCACCUUGUUGAGGGGGAUAAAGAAAAGGAACCUUUACUCCCAGGCCAACACUGCUGCCUGUCUGGAUUGCCUGACAGGAGUGCCUUGGUGUGGUCAUCUGCUGCCAGUCAGAUGUUGCCCCAUGAUCAAGCCAGAUGGUAAAUUAGUAUAGAUCGUACUAAUCACCCAGGGUAUACGGAACCAAUGAAGACACGAAUUAGCUGGCAAAGGAAGAUCUCAUUAGGGUGGCCAAGCUAGGCAUUUAUUCUGGCUCCCCAGGCAAUUGACAUGCAUCUAGACAGCUUUAUGGAUAGCAGCUAAGCAUCACCAGACACAUUAAACAAUUACUGAACAAGCUUCUUUUUUUUUUACAUUUCCAUACACUGUAAUAGCGACAAUCAAUGAUUGUAUGUCACC